rnacentral:rRNA from 1 species
AAUUUUUUAAAAUGGGGGCAACCCUGAUCCAGCCAGCCCGCGUGUGCGAUGAAUGACAUAGGGUUGUCCAGCCCUUUUGGCAGAGAAGAAAAGGCCCUGGCUAAUACCUGGAGCUGCUGACGGUACCUGCAGCAUAAGCACCGGCUAACUACGUUCCAGCAGCCGCGGUAAUAAGUAGGGUGCAAGCGUUAAUCGGAAUUACUGGGCGUAAAGCGUGCGCAGGCGGUUCGGCAAGAAGGAUGUGAAAUCCCAGGGCUUAACCUUGGAACUGCAUUCUUAACUGCCGGGCUAGAGUAUGUCAGAGGGGGGUAGAAUUCCGCGUGUAGCAGUGAAAUGCGUAGAGAUGCGGAGGAAUACCGAUGGCGAAGGCAGCCCCCUGGGAUAAUACUGACGCUCAUGCACGAAAGCGUGGGGAGCAAAC